rnacentral:rRNA from 1 species
GAGAGGCCCAAACGUUAUUCGGAAUUACUGGGCUUAAAGAGUUCGUAGGCGGCGCGGAAAGUAGGGUGUGAAAGCCCUCGGCUCAACCGAGGAAUUGCGCUCUAAACUACCGUGCUUGAGGAAGCUAGAGGUGAGCGGAACUGAUGGUGGAGCGGUGAAAUGCGUUGAUAUCAUCAGGAACACCGGAGGCGAAGGCGGCUCACUGGGGCUUUUUCUGACGCUGAGGAACGAAAGCCAGGGGAGCGAACGGGAUUAGAUACCCCGGUAGUCCUGGCCGUAAACGAUGAGCACUGGGCCGGAGGACUGCACAGUUUUCCGGCCGUAGCGAAAGUGUUAAGUGCUCCGCCUGGGGAGUAUGGUCGCAAGGCUG